UCUGGUUUUACUUCCUGUCUUGUGUUUUCCCGCCUUUUUUGAUUGUUCUGCCCAGCCCUAAUGUGUUUCACCUGUUUCCCAGCCCUAGUGUCACCUGUUGCUUGUUUCCUCAUUUACUCUGUGUAUUUAGUCUCUGUUUUUGAACUGCAUUUGAGUGCAA